rnacentral:rRNA from 1 species
UAGGGAAUCUUCGGCAAUGGACGAAAGUCUGACCGAGCAACGCCGCGUGAGUGAAGAAGGUUUUCGGAUCGUAAAACUCUGUUGUUAGAGAAGAACAAGGACGUUAGUAACUGAACGUCCCCUGACGGUAUCUAACCAGAAAGCCACGGCUAACUACGUGCCAGCAGCCGCGUUAAUACGUAGGUGGCAAGCGUUGUCCGGAUUUAUUGGGCGUAAAGCGAGCGCAGGCGGUUUCUUACGUCUGCUGUGAAAGCCCCCGGCUCAACCGGGGAGGGUCAUUGGAAACUGGGCGACUUGAGUGCAGAAGAGGAGAGUGGAAUUCCAUGUGUAGCGGUGAAAUGCGUAGAUAUAUGGAGGAACACCAGUGGAGAAGGCGGCUCUCUGGUCUGUAACUGACGCUGAGGCUAGAAAGCGUGGGGAGCAAACAGG